rnacentral:rRNA from 1 species
AUUGAACGCUGGCGGCAUGCUUUACACAUGCAAGUCGAACGGCAGCACGGACUUCGGUCUGGUGGCGAGUGGCGAACGGGUGAGUAAUACAUCGGAACGUGCCCAGUUGUGGGGGAUAACUACUCGAAAGAGUAGCUAAUACCGCAUGAGAACUGAGGUUGAAAGCAGGGGAUCGUAAGACCUUGCGCAACUGGAGCGGCCGAUGGCAGGUUAGGUAGUUGGUGGGAUAAAAGCUUACCAAGCCGACGAUCUGUAGCUGGUCUGAGAGGACGACCAGCCACACUGGGACUGAGACACGGCCCAGACUCCUACGGGAGGCAGCAGUGGGGAAUUUUGGACAAUGGGGGCAACCCUGAUCCAGCCAUUCCGCGUGUGGGAAGAAGGCCUUCGGGUUGUAAACCACUUUCGGACGGGAAGAAAUCGACGUGACGAAUAAUCGUGUCGGAUGACGGUACCGUAAGAAGAAGCACCGGCUAACUACGUGCCAGCCGCCGCGGUAA